AAGCAGCCAUCCUCUAAGCAGUGCGUAACAGCUGACCAGCCGAGGUUGGGGGCGCCGAAAAUGGACGGGGCUAAGCUAGGUACCGAUACCUUGGAACACAGCCUCUGAGGCUGUGUUGGUAGGCGGGCGUUGUGGUCGGGCGGAAGCUGGGCCGUGAGGUCCAGUGGACUGGCCACAAGUGCAGAUCCCGGCGGAAGUAACAGCGAAGAGGAGUGAGAAUCUCCUCCGUCGAAAAGGGCAAGGGUUCCCCGGCAAUGCGUCGUCAGCCGGGGGUAAGUCGAUCCUAAGGGAUGCCCUAACCGAGCAUCCCGAAAGGGAAACCGGUUAAGAUUCCGGUACCACGAAGAUACGUGCGGCAACGCAAGUCCGCAGCCCGACGCUUCAGGAUAGGCUGAGUGGGGCCGUCGCCCCAUUUAACCUCUGAAACCCAGGGAGAACCGUAAUGGUGAGAACUGGGUGAAGGAGGGAAUAGCCGCCCGUUUAGGGUGGUUCAGUCGAUUCCUGGAGCCAAGGAAAAGGGUUGCGGAAAGGAUUCUUCGUGCUCGUACCCAGAACCGACACAGGUGCCCUAGGUGAGAAGCCUCAGACGUAUCGGGUCCAACUCAGGGCGAGGGAACUCGGCAAAUUAGCCCCGUAACUUAGGGAUAAGGGGUGCCUGAAACCUUGGCUCAAGCUGGGGUUUCAGGUCGCAGUGACAAGGGGGAUGCGACUGUUUAAUAAAAACAUAGGUGGCCGCAAGCCCGAAAGGGUGUGUACGGCCGUUGAGUCCUGGCCAGUGGUGGUACCUAAAACUCGGGUCCAACCGAGCUAAGGGCCACUAAACGCCGGGAGUAACUCUGACUCUCUUAAGGUAGCCAAAUGCCUUGUCGUGUAAGUUACGACGUGCAUGAAUGGACCAACGACAUCCCCACUGUCCCCGCCUGGGGCCCGGUGAACCCACAUAACUUGGACGAACAGUCCAGGAUCUCCCAGCGGGGCGAAAAGUCCCCGUGGAAUUUUACUGCAGCUUGCUGCUGGGAUGCGGCUGCGGGUACAGAGGGUAGGUGGGAGCCUACGAGCCAUCCCCUCCGGGGGAUGGGGAGGCGACGAUGUAACACCACCUAUCCGUGGCUGUAUCCCUCACCAGAGGAGACUCUGGAACAACGGCAGGUGGGCAGUUUGGCUGGGGCGGCACCCCCUUGAAAAGAUAUCGAGGGGGCCCAAAGCUCGACUCAUCCGGGACAGAACUCCGGAGUAGAGGGCAAGACCAAAAGUCGGGCUGACUGGAUCCUCCAAAGCAAGGGAUCCAGAGGCGAAAGCCGGGUCUAGCGAUCAUUCAUGUCCCCAUUGUUGGGGGCUGGAUGUGACAGAAAAACUACCCCGGGAGUAAUUGGCUCGUCUCCUCCGAGAGUCCCCAUCGACGAGGAGGAUUGGUUCUCCGUCGUCGUCCCUUCCCAUCCUGGGUCCGCAGCAGGGCCCAAGGGCGCGGCUGUUCGCCGAUCAAAGGGGAAUGCGAGAUGGGUUUAGACCGUCGCGAGACAGGUCGGAUUCUACCUGCUGGGAGUGCUGGUCGCCUGAGGGGAAGGCGCCCCUAGUACGAGAGGAACGGGGUAUCGUAGCCUCUAGUUUACCGGUUGUCCGACAGGGCAGUGCCGGGCAGCCACGCUGUCGAGGAUAAGGGCUGAAGGCAUCUAAGCCCGAAACCUCUCCCGAAAAUAGGCGGCCGAUCC
rnacentral:rRNA from 1 species